ACGCGAACUGACAACUACAGACUGGUGAAAUCGGGAACUCUGACACAGGAUGUGGGCGAAGUCGUCAGCUCGUGUCGUGAGAUGUUGGGUUAAGUCCCGUAACGAGCGCAACCUUGUCCUUAGUUACCAGCACGUAUGGUGGGCACUCUAAGGAGACUGCCGGUGACAAACCGGAGGAAGGUGGGGAUGACGUCAAGUCAUCAUGGCCCUUACGGCCUGGGCUACACACGUGCUACAAUGGUCGGUACAGAGGGUUGCCAAGCCGCGAGGUGGAGCUAAUCUCAUAGCCGAUCGUAGUCCGGAUCGCAGUCUGCAACUCGACUGCGUGAAGUCGGAAUCGCUAGUAAUCGCGAAUCAGAAUGUC
rnacentral:rRNA from 1 species